GUGCCAGCCGCCGCGGUAAGACGGAGGAUGCAAGUGUUAUCCGGAAUCACUGGGCGUAAAGCGUCUGUAGGUGGUUUGUUAAGUCAACUGUUAAAUCUUGAGGCUCAACUUCAAAUCAGCAGUCGAAACUAUCAGACUAGAGUAUAGUAGGGGUAAAGGGAAUUUCCAGUGGAGCGGUGAAAUGCGUAGAUAUUGGAAAGAACACCGAUGGCGAAGGCACUUUACUGGGCUAUUACUAACACUCAGAGACGAAAGCUAGGGUAGCAAAUGGGAUUAGAUACCCCAGUAGUCCUAGCUGUAAACAAUGGAUACUAGAUGUUGAACAGAUCGACCUGUGCAGUAUUAAAGCUAACGCGUUAAGUAUCCCGCCUGGGAAGUAUGCUCGCAAGAGUGAA
rnacentral:rRNA from 1 species